rnacentral:rRNA from 1 species
UACGUAGGGUGCGAGCGUUAAUCGGAAUUACUGGGCGUAAAGCGUGCGCAGGCGGUUCGGAAAGAAAGAUGUGAAAUCCCAGGGCUUAACCCUGGAACUGCAUUUUUAACUCCCGGGCUAGAGUGUGUCAGAGGGGGGUAGAAUUCCACGUGUAGCAGUGAAAUGCGUAGAUAUGUGGAGGAACACCGAUGGCGAAGGCAGCCCCCUGGGCUAACACUGACGCUCAUGCACGAAAGCGUGGGGAGCAAACAGG